CCGCCUUUAACCGCAAUGGCAGCUCGGCACCCGCUGCCCUCCACAUCGAACACGCAAACACACGUGCACCAACGAACCUGAAGGUCAGACCAGCGGGAAGCUCAGGGAUUUUGGUGCGGUGGGAGCCGCCAACGGAGCAGGGAGAGACAGUGAGGGGCUACGUGGUCGAUUGGACGGAGGCGGCCAGACACAGCCCCCAGCUCCUAGGCUGGAGACGCCUUCCCAGCACAAUCCAGUCGUUCUACAUCGCAUCGGGACCAGCCAACUCGUCCCAGAGACAUUCAGCACAAGGGAUUCUCAUCAAGCCGAGGAAACGGUACAAUAUCUCAGUGACGGCACUGUAUCCCGCCAGAGAAGGAAGCUCCAGCUGGGCUCAAGGAUAUUC